rnacentral:rRNA from 1 species
UACCAGCUCUCCGAGUGGUAGGGAUGAUUAUUGGGCUUAAAGCGUCCGUAGCCGGCUUAGCAAGUCUCCUGUUAAAUUCAGCGACCUAAUCGUUGAGCCGCGGGAGAUACUACUAGGCUAGGAGGCGGGAGAGGUCAACGGUACUUCCGGGGUAGGGGUGAAAUCCUAUAAUCCCGGGAGGACCACCAGUGGCGAAGGCUGUUGACUAGAACGCGCUCGACGGUGAGGGACGAAAGCUGGGGGGAGCGAACCGGAUUAGAUACCCGGGUAGUCCCAGCUGUAAACGAUGCGAGCUAGGUGUUGGGGUGGCUACGUGCCACUUCAGUGCCGCAGGGAAGCCAUUAAGCUCGCCGCCUGGGGAGUACGGCCGCAAGGCUGAAACUUAAGGAAUUGGCGGGGAGCACCACAAGGCGUGAAGCUUGCGGUUC